GACGAACGCUGGCGGCGUGCCUAAUACAUGCAAGUAGAACGCUGAAGGAGGAGCUUGCUUCUCUGGAUGAGUUGCGAACGGGUGAGUAACGCGUAGGUAACCUGCCUGGUAGCGGGGGAUAACUAUUGGAAACGAUAGCUAAUACCGCAUAAUAGUAGAUGUUGCAUGACAUUUGCUUAAAAGGUGCAAUUGCAUCACUACCAGAUGGACCUGCGUUGUAUUAGCUAGUUGGUGGGGUAACGGCUCACCAAGGCGACGAUACAUAGCCGACCUGAGAGGGUGAUCGGCCACACUGGGACUGAGACACGGCCCAGACUCCUACGGGAGGCAGCAGUAGGGAAUCUUCGGCAAUGGACGGAAGUCUGACCGAUCAACGCCGCGUGAGUGAAGAAGGUUUUCGGAUCGUAAAGCUCUGUUGUAAGAGAAGAACGAGUGUGAGAGUGGAAAGUUCACACUGUGACGGUAUCUGACCAGAAAGGGACGGCUAACUACGUG
rnacentral:rRNA from 1 species